UGUAAGGUCAGCGAACGAGGAAGCCACGGUGGGUGAAUAUUUGACGGAUAUUACGUAAAAAUGUCUCGACUUCUCGGCGAGACUCGGGAAGGAGCCGAGUCGCAACGCGCGACUGAGUACGCGCGACUCCGCGCUUUGAAGUCAAUUAACGUCAAUUAACAGCGUCCGAAGUUUACGUUCCCCCCGUAGCGCGCGAAAAGGCGCGACUCGAAUUUUUACAUUACUCGGCGGACAUAUAUCGCAUGCUUAAACCGCCGCCUUGUACGAGGGAGGAAACGAUAAACGAGUCGGUAAUUUUCUCCCUGCCGGCACGUCGCGCGUCUCUCCCUCGCGCCGCGCAGCGCGCCUCGGAAAGAUAGUUACUAUCGAUCAAUUACGCGCGAUGCGCACACUCGCCGCCUGCGCCCGUAAAAUGGGCUUUUACCGGCCAACUUUCCUUCGGGAUAGAAAAGAUCCACCGAGUCCGAGUAAGAGUACUGUUAAAGGUCGGCUAUAAAUAAGCGAGAGAAUACGCCGGACGUAUGUAAGUGCGUGUACGGCCGCGACACAAGAACCGAUCGUUCGUGAAGGCCGAACGUGUUGGGACCGCGACGGCGCGGCGGCGGCGGCGCGUCUCGCUUCUUCGACUCGCGCCUCGAAAAUUAUUCUCUCGGUUAUAACUCCUUCGCGCAGCGUCUCCGCACAGCGUUGAGGUAGCGAGCUGCCUCAAGCGCGAUCGCAUGAAAAAUCAAUUCGGACGACGACGACGACGACGAUCGGAAUUCGGUUGACUCCGAGAGGUUCGUCCGAGCGCAGCGUGAGUUUCCAAUUCCCACGGCGACGUCGCCUCGCCUCGAGAAAUAACACGAUCAUCAAUCGCGUUGUUUUAUCACUUAUCCCCCGUCACUCACGUCACGCACAUGGCACGACUACAGAGAUAUCCGAUUAGCAUGUGUGAUAUCGCUUUCUAAUUGCCACAAUAUGAUACCACGGCAUGUAAUGCUGAAUUUACCGCACGAGAGACCAAGAGCGAGAGAAAGAGAGAAACGCGCGAGCGCAGCCGUGUGAAAUCGGAUUGAUACUUGAAGUACUGUGUUCGAAAAUCGCGCUGCUCACUUUUGUCGCAACGAUCCCCGCCGGGAUUUCCUCGCUCGAUCGAACGGUGCCGAGAGCGAAGCUUCCGCAGGGGUUCGUCUGGAAAAGGGACGGUGCAGUUAUAUUCGAGCGAAGGUCAAGCGCCGCGGCCGCUCCGAAGGCGCGACGAUGCACCCUCAUCGUUUCCGCUCGAGUUCGCACGGCGUUUUUGUCCCCGCACGGCGCGACGGUAGCCGUGAAGCCUGUUUUAGAUGACGAUCCAUAACUCGAAACGUAAAUACCAUCGUCUUUACUAUCCUACGCGCCGAGUCGCCAUUACAGUCGACGGAUGGGGGAGAGGAUCCUGCCAAGGUUACGCCAAUCGUACAUUUCGGUCGUCACACUCGGACGCGCUCACUCGUGCGCGAUUAAAUCGAGGAGAACGAAAAUAGGUCAAAUUACAGCUCGCGAAUUCUGUCGCGAGUUACAGCGACCGUUUGACGAACGAACGACCGACUCAACUCCGCUUGCGAGCGAGCCGUGUUACGCGUGAAAAGCCCAUUCGGCUGCUGGGCCAUAGCUCCGGCUGUAGCUCGGGGAUCGUUGUAAACAGGACCUAAAUGGCGAUUUGAGCCGGGCAUAAAAGGCCCCGUGUAACGACGUGCUCAGCGCAAACCGUAAUUUUCUUUGCGCCGCCACGCUCGCGUUUAGCCGCGCCGCGCGCUAAUCUUUACCGCUCGCUCGCCCGACUCGCUUAACGAUCGACUUGGCGUAUCGUUUCCGAUACGAGUUUGUGUCGCGGCGGAAAAGCGCCCCGCUUUUCGCGCGCGAGCCAGUCGUCGCGUUACGUCGCGUGCGACUCGCCGCGCGUUUACGGAUGUAUGUCUGAUAAGCGAGCGAUUGUAGAUCUCACACCGAGUUAACAAUCCCCGCAACACGCGUUACAAUGUUUCUUCGAUAAUUGCAGAUUUGAUUUGCAUUUAUGAUUACAUCCCCCCUUUUGCUCUACUCAUGUCAUUCUCACACACACAACGUUAUAAUUUGUGAAAUCAAUUAUUCGCACAGCUUAUGUAUCUAAGGUAUCCUUCGUUAUUGCUGCCUAGGCUUUCUCCCGCAAAUAAACGAGUAAAUUAAAAAAAAAAAGUGAAUUCGAAUACACCUCCGCCGCCGUGGGAAAUGUUUUCAUUGAUCCACGAAAUAAUUGCUACAAUGAUGGUUGCCUCAAAUUUUCUCUCCCGAGCAAUUACAUUUUCUUACAAAAGCUGCGCUAUUAAAGAAGCGCGCGCGACGAGUACCGCUUCUUUUUUCAGCGAAGCUGAAAUUCAACGUCUCGCGCAUUAAUCAUUAUUAUCUUUUUAAUCGACCCGUGUAAAAGUACACACAUACACACACACACACACACGCUGCGUAGUAGCAUUGUCGGUCUUUCGUAAAAGACGCCGAACGGUACAUGGAUUUACAUUCGAUUCGCUUGAAUCAGGCGUUACGCAAUUUCCUCGCCUGCGCCGGUCCCGUUCCGCGGACAAAUCGUCGAUUAUUAUUAAACGAUAAUAGAAACGAGUUUGGCCAGCCGUUUCGUAUGCGCCGACGACAGCUGUCGCGUCCCGCCGCCGAAACGGGAGUCGAUCGGCGCGUUACCGCUCGCUACCGCUCAGUGUGUAUUCGUGUAUUCUUUCGUCGCGAGACGUUAUACGGGCGUCAAGUACCCUCGAUUAAUACCGCAUUCACAAUGCGUUUGUGUGUACACGCAGGUGCGGCGUUUAUCUGUUUUUCACCUGUUUGUGCCACUUCUGCGGCGACUCCCACGUGGCGGGAACGAUUUCACGGUGAAUAGCGCGCCUUUUCCACGAACGAGCCGCGAGCCGCGAGCCGCCGCCAAGUCAAGUUCCAGCGCUGGCAAAAAGCGCGCUGGCGCGAAACAAUCAACCUCCGGAGGUAGCGCGCGUUACCACUCGACUGUUUAUCCACUCCGCAUACACGGGUAUUCGCGCUCCAUCGUCCGGUGUGUGUGCCGCCAUUAUCACACAUCCGCGUGAAAAAUUCGAGAGGAGCUCUCUCGGCGCGCUUCUUCGUUCCUAGGGCGCGCUUCUCGCGCGAGGGAAAGCGCGUCGGUCCCGCGCGGCGACCUUUCCUCGGAGCGUUAUUUUCCUCUACCUGUAAUACCUAACGACGUACACACCGCGUUACGAGGCCACUUUGUGCGAAACAUUGUGCGCAUCGGCUGCGACCGCCGCCGCUCGCUUUCAUCCACCACCAUCGCGAUCGACGGUUAACGAUAAACCGGCUAAACGCCGCCGUAUUGUGCGCCGAAAAGGUCGCUUUCCCGAGCCGUUGUGUGGCUUUCAAGCACGAGCGAGGCACGAUCGGAGACACCGAAGAUGGCCCGAAACCCGCCGGAUAAUUAAGUAGAUUGCCAUGGAAAUUAGAUUAGCGUUGUCGCUGCCUCCUUUAAACGUUUCGCCGAUAUUAUUGCUAGGAGCGUCGGAGAAGUAUCCACCGCCGCUCAAGCCACCAUCAUUGCCUCGGCCAAAGGAUUGUCCUCCUGCGGAAAUGCAAGCUGGACCACCGUUUGGAUAGCCGCCAUUACCGCUGCCACUGCCUCCAUUAAAUCCUG